ACCUGGUGCGCGGCUCCGGACCUGGCGACCCACGACCGGCUGGUCACUUGCUGCCACCUCGCAAAGGCGCAUCUCUAGUUCAGUGGCCAUGUGCUCAUUUCCACUUACCUGGCAGGGGAGAGACCGUGGUCACGAAGGGGGUUCUCCCAGAGUGAAGCUUCUUCAUCGCACUCUAGAGUUGCUGAUCCCUGUGAUUUCCUCCAUGUGGGAAACGGUGUUUGUGCUAGAAGAGGCUGCGCUCUUUACCUGACAUAACGGGGUUCAAGACUGACAACGCCUCACGCCCACCCGAAAACGUUUACAUGGCUUCCUUGUCUCUUUUUUUUUCUGUCCUAAAGUCGCCUCAUCUUCACAUCCCCUCUUUUUUUUCUUCCACACUCGAGAGUGUCUCUCUCUCUCAGUAAAAGCUCCACCAAAUAUUUGAAAUAUCUCAA
rnacentral:misc_RNA from 1 species